rnacentral:rRNA from 1 species
AGAGUUUGAUCCUGGCUCAGGACGAACGCUGGCGGCGUCCUAAUACAUGCAAGUCGAGCGCGGGAAGCCGUCGGAUCUCUUCGGAGUGACGACGGGGGAACGAGCGGCGGACGGGUGAGUAACACGUGGGCAACCUGCCUUGCAGACUGGGAUAACCCCGGGGAACCGGGGCUAAUACCGGAUGACCAAUAAGAUCGCCUGAUCUUAUUGUAAAAGUGGGGACUUGUUCCUCACACUGCGAGAUGGGCCCGCGGCGCAUUAGCUAGUUGGAGAGGUAAGAGCUCCCCAAGGCGACGAUGCGUAGCCGACCUGAGAGGGUGAUCGGCCACACUGGGACUGAGACACGGCCCAGACUCCUACGGGAGGCAGCAGUAGGGAAUCAUCCGCAAUGGGCGAAAGCCUGACGGUGCAACGCCGCGUGAGUGACGAAGGUUUUCGGAUCGUAAAGCUCUGUUAUCAGGGAAGAACACGUGCCGGUCAAACAGGCCGGCGCCAUGACGGUACCUGAUCAGAAAGCCCCGGCUAACUACGUCCAGCAGCCGCGGUAAUACGUAGGGGGCAAGCGUUGUCCGGAAUUAUUGGGCGUAAAGCGCGCGCAGGCGGUUUCUUAAGUCUAUUUUAAAGCCCACGGCUCAACCGUGGAGGGUCAUUGGAAACUGAGGAACUUAUGCAGGAAGGAGAGUGGAAUUCCACCGUUACGGUUAAAUCGUAAAUAUUUGAGGAACACCAUUGGCGAAACGCGGCUCUCCUCGCCUUUAACUUACGCUAAGGCGCCAAAGGCUUGGGGGAGGCGAAACAGGAAUUAAGAUACCUGUUAGUCCACGCCGUAAAACGUUGAGUGGUUAGGUGUUUAGGGGUUUCGAUGCCCUUAGUGCCGAAGCAAACGCAAUUAAGCACUCCGCCUGGGGAGUACGACCGCAAGGUUUGAAACUCAAAGGAAUUGACGGGGGCCCGCACAAGCGGUGGAGCAUGUGGUUUAAUUCGACGCAACGCGAAGAACCUUACCAGGUCUUGACAUCUUUCGCUAUUCCCAGAGAUGGGAAGUUCCCCUUCGGGGGACGAAAUGACAGGUGGUGCAUGGUUGUCGUCAGCUCGUGUCGUGAGAUGUUGGGUUAAGUCCCGCAACGAGCGCAACCCUUAAUCCUAGUUGCCAGCAUUAAGUUGGGCACUCUAGGGUGACUGCCGGUGACAAACCGGAGGAAGGUGGGGAUGACGUCAAAUCAUCAUGCCCCUUAUGACCUGGGCUACACACGUGCUACAAUGGAUGGUACAGAGGGAAGCGAACCCNCGAGGUGAAGCCAAUCUCAAAAAGCCAUUCUCAGUUCGGAUUGCAGGCUGCAACUCGCCUGCAUGAAGCCGGAAUCGCUAGUAAUCGCGGAUCAGCAUGCCGCGGUGAAUACGUUCCCGGGCCUUGUACACACCGCCCGUCACACCACGAGAGCUUGCAACACCCGAAGUCGGUGGGGUAACCCUUCUGGGAGCCAGCCGCCGAAGGUGGGGCAGGUGAUUGGGGUGAAGUCGUAACAAGGUAUCCCUACCGGAAGGUGGGGCUGGAUCACCUCCUU